AUGCCAUCACCCAUGUCAUCACCUACUGGGGCCGGCCUGUGGCUCUCAUGUCCAGGUUUGAGCCUGGGAGGCAACCGGAGCUGAAAAAGAAGAGGGAAUCUAGAUAAGUAAAGCUCUCACCCCUCAUGAAAGAAACUUUUCAAGUGACAGAGACCAUUACAGAGAGCUACAGCUGGUCAAAAUACAGAGAAGCCAUGUCUGUUUCAAGAAUGAAGUCAAACCAUGCUGUGGAGUGAGCUUUCCCACAUCAGGUGUUAUACAGAAGAGGUGGAUGCAUGGAGCAUUCAGUGUUCCAGAUUACAGCUCCUGGGGACUUUUGUAAAGCAGCAAAAUCCACAUGGAAGCCAAAGUAUAUUUGUGAUGAAACCAUAAAACACCCGGAAGAGCCUUUAAGACUGAACGUGGACUAGUAAUUGUCACUGCUGAUGCAGUCCGCUGUCAUGUCGUUGUCACCAAGGAGCUGGAGAGUCAACGUGUAACUUAGACCCACGGAGCAAGAUGGAUGUCCUAAGAUCAGAGAUUCUGCGAAGCGACAGCUGGUGGAGGACAGGAACCUGCUGGUAGAAAAUAAAAAGUACUUCAAGCAGAGUAAACUCGCCAAAACAGAGGAGGAAGCACAUUUUGGAAGAUGCCCCUACAAGACACAGCCAAAAGAGGAUGACCGGACACCACCAUCAAAUCCUGUGCUGGAACUCGAACUUGCAGAGGAAAAACUUCCUAUGACUUUUUCUAGGCAAGAGGUCAUCAGAAGACUGAGAGAGAGAGGAGAACCAAUUACACUGUUUGGGGAAAGCAAUUAUGAUGAUUUCCAAUACUUAAGAAAAAUAAAGAUUCUUACACCAGAAGUAAGGGCUUAAGGAAUGAUCUGAAAACAGCUUUGGACAAGAUUGACCAGCAGUACUUGAAUAAAAAGUGGUUGGUCAGGAAGCUGGAGAGGAGAACACACAGAAUGACCUGAAAGUUCUUGAGGAAAACACGACCACUGAAGAAAUAGAGGCACUGGGGGAGUCCUCAGGGAAAGGUGAGGAUCCUGAGGACAUGGACAUCAUCACCAAGUUCCUGAAGUUUCUGCUUAGUGUUACAUGGGCUAAAGAACUGAAUACCAGAGAGGACUAUGGGAAGCAAAGCAUGCAGGGCAAACUGAACAGUGCUACCCACAAGCAGACCGCUUUUCAGAAAGCUCCAGAAAAGAAAUCUUCCUGCUGAUACUAAAGGGUCAGUCACAGGUAUUAUUAAGUUCCUGUUGCAGCGAGAGUAUGUGAAGGCAAAUGAUGCUUACCUUUAGAUGGCCAUUAGAAAUGCUCCCUGGUCUAUUGGUGUCACUAAAGCUGGUAUCCAUGCCAGAACUGUCAGGGAAAAGAUCUUUUCCAAGCAUGUUGCACAUGUUUUAAAUGAUGAAACCCAGCGGAAAUACAUUCAGGGACUCAAGAGGUUAAUGACAAUUUGCCAGAAGCACUUUCUUACAGACCCAUUGAAAUGUAUGGAGUAUAAUGCAGUGUAAGAUCUGUGUAUGGUGAUCUCUUUGACAGAUCAGAUGUCAAAUAGGCUAGUAUGCACUUGGCAUCCAACUCUCACAUGAUAGAAAAUAGUACUGUUAAUAUACUUAGGAUAUUAAGAUGAAAACUUUAAAUAGUUAUAAAAUAAAAUCUGCUUUUGG
rnacentral:lncRNA from 1 species